GAUCCUCCUGCCUUGGCCUCUCAAAGCACUAGGAUUUCAGCAUGGAGUGCCAUAUUUGUGGGCAUCAGGAGGGUCCAGAUGGCAACUUUACCAGACACUGGAGAUAAACUGAUUUGUUUAAAAGCAGGAGCUUGCAUCCAGGAAAAGUGGUCUGCUUCAGGCUGCAGGUUGGCCGAACUUAGCUACCUGUUGAAGUUUAGGUCUGCAUCAUAUUUCUCCACAUUUAUCUCGGACCAGCAGAUAUUUAGGCUAUUGGCAGAAGCAUACCCGGGCAAACCAAACCAUGGGAGUACUUUCUAACCCCCUGUUCACAUUAUGUUCAAUAACAUCCUACUGGCCUAAGUAAGAACGAUGGUCACUUAGCCAGGUGUCGUGGUGUGCGCCUGUAGUCCCAGCUACUCAGGAGGCUGAGGCAGGAGAAU
rnacentral:lncRNA from 1 species